rnacentral:rRNA from 1 species
UACGGAGGGUGCAAGCGUUGUCCGGAUUUAUUGGGUUUAAAGGGUGCGUAGGCGGCUAAUUAAGUCAGCGGUGAAAUUCCACAGCUCAACUGUGGAACUGCCAUUGAUACUGGUUGGCUUGAGUACAGAUGAGGUAGGCGGAAUUGACAGUGUAGCGGUGAAAUGCUUAGAUAUUGUCAAGAACUCCUAUUGCGAAGGCAGCUUACUAAGCUGUAACUGACGCUGAGGCACGAAAGCGUGGGGAUCAAACAGG